AGUGAUUUCUAAUGGCAGCCCUGUUCCCAACCAUUGAGUGUUGCUAUUUGUGGGUUAUAUACUGCUACAUAAUGGCUAAUACUACGGUUUGUACUAACUGUGGUAAAAUGUAUUUCCUAUAAACACAGGUGACUUCCUCUACUUCCUCCCUAGCAAAAAUAUGGCAUUUCUACCAUGCUUUACACAUGGAAGUGUAGAAUCAUAUUGCAUGUGCACUCACAAGACUUCUGGGAAACAAAGGUUAUCCUCCUGUGUGUCAAAAUCACCCAAAGACAUAUCUGUGCGUUAUAAUGUGGAUGAGACAACAAAGGAAGCAGAACGGGGCUGUUCACUGAAGUCGACAAAUUGCAGGGAUAUUUCCAACACUUGUAGGUGCCCUUUGUGGAUAACCAAUUGUCUGAAGGAGAAGAAAUGGGACUGGAGACCAUACUGGGCGAUAGCCUAUUUCCCAGGGUACAGGAUCUUCUAGAAACUAACUUUAAUUGACUAUUGGACAAAAUGUCUUUCAUUAUGGGAUCAUUAUACAAUAUUGGGAGAUGUUUAUGUAUUGUUUUACAAAUAUCAUUAUAUUCUAAACUUUACUCCGUACUGAAAUAAAUCGGAUUGUUUUUGUC